rnacentral:rRNA from 1 species
AUGAAGGCGGCUACAGUCCUUGUGUUCGUCCUACUGGUGAUUACAUCCUCUGCUGCUGCAGCUUCGGCGAGGAAAUUGGCGGGAGAUGAUGGGCAGCAGGCAGGCCAAAUGGUGAAGAAGAUGGAGGUGAACGUACUUACUGGUUUGCCAUGUUCUGAAUCUGACCCCGGUUGCCAUAACUGCGGAAGAAAGAAAUACCCCUGCAACUGA